rnacentral:lncRNA from 1 species
AGAAACCCAACCAUAUCCAACCGUACACACCCCCGUACCAACCUUACACCGUGUGGGGAGACAACUCGACCCACCCAACCGCUACACACCACAGAAUUUGCAGCAUGGCUGCUAGAAUAGAUAAUGUGACAGAGUCACCAGAUACAGAUAAUCGUGGCAGAGCCACCAGAACAGAUAUAUGUGGCAGAGCCACCAGAUCAGAUAUUUGUGGAAUAGCCACCAGAACGCUUCCUCCAUAAUAUAACCCAUGUCCCCAUGCAACAGAUAUAUAAUCAUGGCAUACAUCAUACAGAAUCAGAUCGUCAUGCUUUUCAGUCAAAAUUAACCCUAGGCGUAUAACGGUAAUUUUGCACCUAGGGGUAUAACAGUAAUUUUCCAUACAUAGGGGUAUUAUAGUAAUUUAGCUACUUUUAGGGUUUUCAUGCAUAUCCUAACUAUUUACGUACUAUCAGAACACUUACCGCACAUACUUACUGAAUUGGGCUCGUUGGCCCAUGAACCCGAUAUUUGGCCCAUUAAGCCCAAAUUAUCAAAAUGUACGAAAUCGCGCGUACUGUAGUUUAUUACUUUAGAUUACCAAAUAUACAAACCCAACUAUCUUACGAGCAUUCGCACACUCGCAAAUUCCCA